ACUAGUUAUUUGCAGUGCAAUGGAAGAAGACAUGCCAGUCUUUUGUCAAAUAAGUGAUGUACUUUUGCUAUUUACAGAGAAUUUUGAUGACCAUCAUCAUGCAUUCAGAGUAUUACGAAGUGCGGAAAGGUGUCUACUAAAAAUGUCUGAGCUUAAAUUUCAUAAACCGUUUGAUAUUCAAAGCUCAUACAAUGUUUCAGAUGAAAGUAUGUACAUUAUACCUUCAUUCACAAUGUUUUAAUUCAACUGACUGCAAGGGAGAAAAGGCACAAAUAAAUGUUUUUGAAAAU